rnacentral:rRNA from 1 species
AGUGAACGCUGGCGGCGUGCUUAACACAUGCAAGUCGAGCGAAGUGGCAGCUGUAGCAAUACAGUAUGUACUUAGCGGCAGACGGGUNAGUAACACGUAGAUAACUUUCCUCUAAGCGGGGAUAGCUUGCCGAAAGGCGAGGUAAUACCGCGUAUUAUCAAGAUGGGGCAUCCCGUUUUGAUGAAACGUCCGCAAGGACGGCUAAGAGAGAGAUCNGCGGCCUAUCAGCUAGUUGGUGGGGUAACGGCCCACCAAGGCUAUGACGGGUAUCCGACCUGAAAGGGUGACCGGACACACUGACACUGAGACACGGUCAGACUCCUACGGGAGGCAGCAGUGAGGAAUUUUGGACAAUGGGGAAACCCUGAUCC